rnacentral:rRNA from 1 species
GACGAACCGUCCAAACGUUAUUCGGAAUUACUGGGCUUAAAGGGUGCGUAGGCGGCUCUGCAAGUUGGGUGUGAAAUCCCUCGGCUCAACCGAGGAAUGGCGCCCAAAACUGUGGAGCUCGAGGGAGACAGAGGUGAGUGGAACUUGUGGUGGAGCGGUGAAAUGCGUUGAUAUCACAAGGAACACCGGUGGCGAAAGCGGCUCACUGGGUCUCUUCUGACGCUGAGGGACGAAAGCUGGGGGAGCGAACGGGAUUAGAUACCCCUGUAGUCCCUGAG